UAUACUGUCACUGUCAACUGUCAAGUUCAGACCAAAUCCAAAUGGAGGUUAAUAAUUUAUUGUUGAAAAAUGUUUAUUUUUGAUAUAAACUGAUUGUUAUCAGUGUACGUUAACAGCGCCAAACGCAUAAAACAUAAAACAGUUUAUGAUGAUUAUAAUCUGAAAUCAACGUUGAGAAAACAGGGCUUUUUGUCGAUUGAGGAAUGUUUGAGCACUUUAGACGAAGAAUAAAAGGAAUUGAAGCAAUACUAAGAAGUUGAAAAAACCAUUAAACUGAAAAAUUCAGUCAUAAUUAUGAACAAAGAAGUCAGUUUGAGUUUCUCCCAUCAAAGGUUAAAAAUAUAGGAAUUAGAUUGAGUGUAAUUAAAGAAGACUGAAAUAUUGGGAGCUUUGAAGACAAACUCGAAUUAACUUUGUGGAAUUGGGAUUGAAGAAAAAAUAUGAUUAUGUAUAGGCAAAGGCAAAACUAAACUAACUACAUACUACUGUUUUCAGCCUAUGCCUCGAAAUUACGUACAAAAGACUAAAUCAAAAUACGAAAUUGAAAAUCUUCGCACGCAAACGAAGAUGUUAAAAGUAAAAAGCUCACAUUGGCCCAAACUGCUACCAAAUACUAAUUAAGUCAUUACCCCAUACCGUUCCCAUUUCCCCCAUAGGGUAUGGGGUAAAUAGGAACGACAAUGUUUUUUAUUUUUGUUUAUAUUUUUAGUGAAACUUAGGUUAUAAAAAAUUUGACAACUAAGAAUAUAAAUAAACAAAGUUUAUGUAGCAA